rnacentral:misc_RNA from 1 species
UCCUGGUUAACCCAGGCAGUCUCACUAGAGUUCCCACCAUUACGUGCUGGCAACUAGUGAUAAGGGUUGCGCUCGUUGCGGGACUUAACCCAACACCUCACGGCACGAGCUGACGACAGCCAUGCAGCACCUGUGCAGCGGUCCCGAAGGAAGAUCAUAUUUCUAUGACUGUCCACUGCAUGUCAAACCUGGGUAAGGUUCUUCGCGUUGCAUCGAAUUAAACCACAUGCUCCACUGCUUGUGCGGGUCCCCGUCAAUUCUUUUGAGUUUCACCCUUGCGAGCGUACUCCCCAGGCGGCAUACUUAUCGCGUUAGCUUCGGCACAACCGGGGUUGAGUCCGGUUACACCAAGUAUGCAUUGUUUACGGCAAGGACUAC